UCACCGGGCGAAAAGUUUGCUU
rnacentral:miRNA from 1 species